AGUGAACGCUGGCGGUAGGCCUAACACAUGCAAGUCGAACGGCAGCGCAGUAAGAGCUUGCUCUUACGGGUGGCGAGUGGCGGACGGGUGAGGAAUACAUCGGAAUCUACUUUUUCGUGGGGGAUAACGUAGGGAAACUUACGCUAAUACCGCAUACGACCUACGGGUGAAAGCAGGGGAUCUUCGGACCUUGCGCGAUUGAAUGAGCCGAUGUCGGAUUAGCUAGUUGGCGGGGUAAAGGCCCACCAAGGCGACGAUCCGUAGCUGGUCUGAGAGGAUGAUCAGCCACAGUGGAGGUGAGACACGAUCCAGACUCCUACGGGAGGCAGCAGUGGGGAAUAUGGGACAAUGGGCGCAAGCCUGAUCCAGCCAUACCGCGUGGGUGAAGAAGGCCUUCGGGUUGUAAAGCCCUUUUGUUGGGAAAGAAAAGCAGCAGGUUAAUACCCCGCUGUUCUGACGGUACCCAAAGAAUAAGCACCGGCUAACUUCGU
rnacentral:rRNA from 1 species